GUUAAUCCAAACAGGCCCUUAGUCGUCAAAUUGCUACAAUGCAAUCCUUGGGCAACUAGUGUUGUAUGACUUUGAAGUCGCCACUAGCAUCAGAUAUCUUAUGAUGAAAUUUCUAACUAAAUAAGGGAUUGCCAUGGUGAGAGGAAGGCAAAAAGAAGCUUAAACAGUCUACCUAGCCACAGUAAGGGUCGACAAGGAGGAAGAUGUUAGAGCAGAGGUACUAGAAGUAUGAGAUAAGGGAAGAGAACAAAGAACUAAACCAACAGAACCAGUCGAAACCUUCCCAUUGUAUGAAAAUGGGACAGAUCUGGAAAAAUUAUUUUACCUCAACGCCAACUUGACUGAAGAGGAAAAAGGAGUGGUCAAGAACUUGAUCCAAGAUAAUGCUGAAGAAUUCACCUGGAAGCCCUCAGACAUGCUCGGAAUAGAUCCAAAGGUCAUUACCCACAAACUCAAUGUUGAUCUGAAGGCAAAGUCGGUGAAAUAGAAGAAGAGGGUCUUCGGACCAAAAAAGCAAGCCGCCAUUCAUUUGAAAGUAGAAAAACUAGUGAAAGU
rnacentral:misc_RNA from 1 species